GGUGGGGUCUCGCAUUCAUGGAUGGGUUCUCACAUUCAUAGAAAAGGACCCCCUGGUAGUAUAAAUACUCUCUCCUCCUUUUUAAAACCAUUUUCAAUCCUAAACACCACUAUUGUUGAUCCUAAAAUCUUAGGAAUUGUUGGGAUUUCAUCCCUUUAAAAUCAGUGUGGCGGAUUUUUAGAGAUCAUGUGGAGAGGAUGAGUAGUUCAUGGUCGAUCUGUGACUACUAAUUGAUAUUCAGGGAAUGAUUAAGUUACUAUCAUAUUACACUACACCAAUACCACUUGCCUUUGAUCCAUUCUUGAUGAAAUCGCGACAAAUGAGGAGGAUAUGCAAUGUUAUCUGCAGUAGUUGGAAAAUAAACAUAGUACUCUUGUCCGUUUAUUCCACUAAUGAAUCCAAACCACCGUCCAUCAUUGGCAAAAACAUCAACUAUAUCGUACAAACGGAAGUUUCUUUCUGACACAAUCUCAUGUUGUUUAGGAGGUAUAGGGCGGACCUCAGAUACAUCAAUAAUUUCCACUAGUGGUGCAGAUUUAUCUUCAUUCAACAGAGUCUUGUACUAGACGCUGUAAUGAGAAGCGUCAAUGGAAGAAAUAAUUGUUGCUGUGUAAUAACAACCUAUGAAUCCAAACUCUUGACUUGCUACCUCAACUUCAUCACCCUUUUGGAAUGCUUUUGUUAUUUGUUUUUUCUUGAAUGCUAUUGUCUUUAUUGUC